GAUGAACGCUGGCGGCGUGCUUAACACAUGCAAGUCGAACGGAAAGGCUCCUGCUUGCAGGGGUACUCGAGUGGCGAACGGGUGAGUAACACGUGGGUGAUCUGCCCUGCACUUCGGGAUAAGCCUGGGAAACUGGGUCUAAUACCGGAUAGGACCACAUUUUGGAUGGUGUGGUGGAAAGUUUUUCGGUGUGGGAUGAGCUCGCGGCCUAUCAGCUUGUUGGUGGGGUAAUGGCCUACCAAGGCGUCGACGGGUAGCCGGCCUGAGAGGGUGUACGGCCACAUUGGGACUGAGAUACGGCCCAGACUCCUACGGGAGGCAGCAGUGGGGAGUAUUGCGCAAUGGGCGCGAGCCUGAUGCAGCGACGCCGCGUGGGGGAUGACGGCCUUCGGGUUGUGAACUCCUUUCGCUAGGGACGAAGCGCAAGUGACGGUACCUGGAGAAGAAGCACCGGCUAACUACGUG
rnacentral:rRNA from 1 species